GACGAACGCUGGCGGCGUGCUUAACACAUGCAAGUCGAGCGGUAAGGCCCUUUCGGGGGUACACGAGCGGCGAACGGGUGAGUAACACGUGGGUGACCUGCCCUCAGCUCUGGGAUAAGCCUGGGAAACCGGGUCUAAUACCGGAUAUGACUCCAUGACGCAUGUUGUGGGGUGGAAAGCCUUGUGCGGCUGAGGAUGGGCCCGCGGCCUAUCAGCUUGUUGGUGGGGUGAUGGCCUACCAAGGCGACGACGGUAGCCGGCCUGAGAGGGCGACCGGCCACACUGGGACUGAGACACGGCCCAGACUCCUACGGGAGGCAGCAGUGGGGAAUCUUGCGCAAUGGGCGAAAGCCUGACGCAGCGACGCCGCGUGA
rnacentral:rRNA from 1 species